GCUGGCGGCAGGCCUAACACAUGCAAGUCGAACGGAGUUAUAUUGUAGCUUGCUAUGGUAUAACUUAGUGGCAGACGGGUGAGUAAUGUAUAGGAAUCUACCUAGUAGUACGGAAUAAUUGUUGGAAACGGCAACUAAUACCGUAUACGCCCUACGGGGGAAAAAUUUAUUGCUAUUAGAUGAGCCUAUAUUAGAUUAGCUAGUUGGUGGAGUAAUAGCCUACCAAGGCAAUGAUCUAUAGCUGAUCUGAGAGGAUGAUCAGCCACACUGGAACUGAGAUACGGUCCAGACUCCUACGGGAGGCAGCAGUGGGGAAUAUUGGACAAUGGGCGAAAGCCUGAUCCAGCCAUGCCGCAUGAGUGAAGAAGGCCUUUGGGUUGUAAAGCUCUUUUAGUGAGGAAGAUAAUGACGGUACUCACAGAAGAAGUCCUGGCUAACUCCGUGCCAGCAGCCGCGGUAAUACGGAGAGGGCUAGCGUUAUUCGGAAUUAUUGGGCGUAAAGGGCGCGUAGGCGGAUUAGUAAGUUAAAAGUGAAAUCCCAAGGCUCAACCUUGGAAUUGCUUUUAAAACUGCUAAUCUAGAGAUUGAAAGAGGAUAGAGGAAUUCCUAGUGUAGAGGUGAAAUUCGUAAAUAUUAGGAGGAACACCAGUGGCGAAGGCGUCUAUCUGGUUCAAAUCUGACGCUGAGGCGCGAAGGCGUGGGGAGCAAACAGGAUUAGAUACCCUGGUAGUCCACGCUGUAAACGAUGAAUGUUAAAUAUGGGAAGUUUUACUUUCUGUAUUAC
rnacentral:rRNA from 1 species